GACGAACGCUGGCGGCGUGCUUAACACAUGCAAGUCGAACGGAAAGGCCCUGCUUUUGUGGGGUGCUCGAGUGGCGAACGGGUGAGUAACACGUGAGUAACCUGCCCUUGACUUUGGGAUAACUUCAGGAAACUGGGGCUAAUACCGGAUAGGAGCUCCUGCUGCAUGGUGGGGGUUGGAAAGUUUCGGCGGUUGGGGAUGGACUCGCGGCUUAUCAGCUUGUUGGUGGGGUAGUGGCUUACCAAGGCUUUGACGGGUAGCCGGCCUGAGAGGGUGACCGGCCACCUUGCGACUGAGAUACGGCCCAGACUCCUACGGGGGGUAGCGGUGGGGAAUAUUGCACGAUGGGCGGAAGCCUGGUGCAGCAACGCCGCGUGCGGGAUGACGGCCUUCGGGUUGUAACCCGCUUUCGCCUGUGACGAAGCGUGAGUGACGGUAAUGGGUAAAGAAGCACCGGCUAACUACGUG
rnacentral:rRNA from 1 species